rnacentral:rRNA from 1 species
GAUGAACGCUAGCGGCAGGCUUAAUACAUGCAAGUCAAGGGGGUAGCAAUACAACCGGCGCACGGGUGAGUAACGCGUACACAACAUGCCAUAUACUGGGGUAUAGCUUUGGGAAACUGAAGGUAAUCCCCUAUAGUAUUGCGGGUAGGCAUCUAUCUGCAAUUAAAGUUUCGACGGUAUAUGAUUGGUGUGCGUUCCAUUAGCUAGUUGGUAGGGUAACGGCCUACCAAGGCGACGAUGGGUAGCUGGCGUGAGAGCGCGACCAGCCACACUGGAACUGAGACACGGUCCAGACUCCUACGGGAGGCAGCAGUAGGGAAUAUUGGACAAUGGGCGAAAGCCUGAUCCAGCCAUGCCGCGUGAUAGAUGAAGGCCCUCUGGGUUGUAAUAUCUUUUAUCUGGGAAGAAACUCCUCUAUUCUUAGAGGCCUGACGGUACCAGAGGAAUAAGCACCGGCUAACUCCGUGCCAGCAGCCGCGGUAAUGU